CCUACGGGUGGCAGCAGUGGGGAAUAUUGCACAAUGGGGGAAACCCUGAUGCAGCGACGCCGCGUGAGUGAAGAAGUAUUUCGGUACGUAAAGCUCUAUCAGCAGGGAAGAAAAUGACGGUACCUGACUAAGUAGCCCCGGCUAACUACGUGCCAGCAGCCGCGGUAAUACGUAGGGGGCAAGCGUUAUCCGGAUUUACUGGGUGUAAAGGGAGCGUAGACGGCAGCGCAAGUCUGGAGUGAAAUCCCAUGGCUUAACCAUGGAACUGCUUUUGAAACUGUGCAGCUAGAGUGCAGGAGAGGUAGGCGGAAUUCGUAGGGUAGCGGUGAAAUGCGGAGAUAUUAGGAGGAACACCAGUGGCGAAGGCGGCUUACUGGACUGUAACUGACGUUGAGGCUCGAAAGCGUGGGGAGCAAACAGGAUUAGAUACCCCUGUAGUC
rnacentral:rRNA from 1 species